CCUACGGGAGGCAGCAGUGAGGAAUAUUGGUCAAUGGACGCAAGUCUGAACCAGCCAUGCCGCGUGCAGGAAGACGGCUCUAUGAGUUGUAAACUGCUUUUGUACGAGGGUAAACGCAGAUACGCGUAUCUGUCUGAAAGUAUCGUACGAAUAAGGAUCGGCUAACUCCGUGCCAGCAGCCGCGGUAAUACGGAGGAUUCAAGCGUUAUCCGGAUUUAUUGGGUUUAAAGGGUGCGUAGGCGGUCGGAUAAGUUAGAGGUGAAAUCCCGGGGCUCAACUUCGGAAUUGCCUCUGAUACUGUUCGGCGAGAGAGUAGUUGCGGUAGGCGGAAUGUAUGGUGUAGCGGUGAAAUGCUUAGAGAUCAUACAGAACACCGAUUGCGAAGGCAGCUUACCAAACUACUACUGACGUUGAGGCACGAAAGCGUGGGGAACAAACAGGAUUAGAUACCCGGGUAGUC
rnacentral:rRNA from 1 species